AUAUGUUUGCGUGGCCGUCUUGGUUUCUGGGGAUGAAGUGUGCUAAGCGGAACAUCAUCAGUGUUUAGUGAAUGUGAGGAUGGUGGUAGAGGAGAACUAGACGGGGUUUUGGGAAUGGGUUGCUGAGACGGAGAAGAAGUGAAGAUAUUAGUGGUGGUGGGAAUAGGUGUAUUUGUGGGAGUUGGUGGCGAUGAGAUAGGAUGAUUUAGAGUUGGGUUGUCUGACUGUG
rnacentral:misc_RNA from 1 species